rnacentral:rRNA from 1 species
CCUACGGGAGGCAGCAGUGGGGAAUAUUGCGCAAUGGGCGCAAGCCUGACCCAGCAACGCCGCGUGAAGGAAGAAGGCUUUCGGGUUGUAAACUUCUUUUCUCAGGGACGAAGCAAGUGACGGUACCUGAGGAAUAAGCCACGGCUAACUACGUGCCAGCAGCCGCGGUAAGACGUGGGUGGCAAGCGUUAUCCGGAUUUACUGGGUGUAAAGGGCGUGUAGGCGGGACUGCACGUCAGAUGUGAAAACCACGGGCUCAACCUGUGGCCUGCAUUUGAAACUGUAGAUCUUGAGUGCUGGAGAGGCAGACGGAAUUCCUAGUGUAGCGGUGAAAUGCGUAGAUAUUAGGAGGAACACCAGUGGCGAAGGCGCUCUGCUGGACAGUAACUGACGCUGAGGCGCGAAAGCGUGGGGAGCAAACAGGAUUAGAUACCCGUGUAGUC